UUAUAGAAGUGGGCGUGGUCUGAUCUAAACUGGGUUGGAUAAAACUUUUAUGAUGAAACUAAUUUUCCGCGUGCCCACAGUCAGACCUGAGGGAUGACCGUGAGUGGGAUGCGUGCGUUGACUUGUGUCGUGUUUUUGUGCUCUCAACCUUACAGUGCACAAAACAUCACCUGCACUGUCACUCAGGACGCAGAGCAAACUACUUACAGAGUUCAACAUGUUGAGGGUUUUAACAGCACUGAUGAAUACUCGUGGACCAAUGCAAAUGGCACACAUCCCUAUGUGAUUGCACAUCACAAGGAGAGAACUGACAAAUGUGUGAAGAGUAAGAACAUCAGCACUCUCAUCACGACAAAAUGCUUUGAAAACAGUCGACUACAAACUAAAGUUCAUCCAAGAGGAUGGAUUUGUGAUGAUUACAUCUAUGUGUAACACCACCUGCAAUAAACAUGCUUUGCUUAAGCAGAAAGACAAAGAGACUUCCUGGAUUGUUGCUGCUGUUAUUAUCUUGCUGCUUGUUGCUGGUUGUAUCCUCUGCUACAUAUACAGAGAUACAAUUCUCAACUGUACCGGACAAGAUUACACUCCUGGAAGGAAGGAAGGUGCCCCUAAACAGUUGUUUACGUGGGGAAAAAAGUGAAAGACAUUCUUCUUUUAGAAAGGGAUGUAAUGACUUUCUAUCCAAUUUACCUUUCCAUUUGAUCUGUUACGGUGUUAUGAUUCGACAUACUUUCAGCACUUAAGAAUGUGCCUUCCAUUUUAAAUUUGUUGUGUUUAGAGUAGUUUCUCAGCAAAUAUACCCUUGAAAUCUAUUUCCACUGCUGAGAACUACAUGUUUGUUUUUAAUGUAUUGCUUACAGUUAGUAAGUAGGACUGUGCUUUUGUUAUCUCUGCCACUUCUGCAAGGAAAACACAGAUGUUAUAGAUAUGUAUACGUAAAUUUAGCUUUUAUAUUAAUUAUUAUACAUAUUUAGCGAAUUGGCGUGGAUUAUGCCAGACUCAAACAGAAGAUUUCUCUCAUCAAAUUUAGCCACAUAUAGCCCUACAUCAGUCUUAUGUUUUAGUAAAAAAGAUUUUCAGCAUUUUCAUCUCCCAAUUUCUCAGGGUAAAAUUAUGUUUGCCAAAGCAGCAUCUCAGCUCAGUUGCAGGGUUUGUGUUGCAAAACAAAACACAAACAGUAUUUGAAUAGCCUCGGCCUUAAUAAAAGUUGCACAGCCAGAGUAGUUAGUCAUGAUGUAUUAGUGCAGCAAUGAAAAGUUCUUGAGGCUGUGGAAGCUGACAAACUCUUUGCUGCACCAGCGAGUGCACUUUGAGGACCAAAGCCCAGUAGCGAUACAGCGACCUCCCCAUGACCAGUCAGGACUCAGUAGUGGUGUUAACAUGGACCAAAGCUGUGGAAGCUAGGAGACUUGUAAUGCAGCACCAGGGAGUGCCCUUUCAGUGUCCUGUAGCAUUACAGCAACCCCUCUUUAUGAAGCCUUAACACACACACACACACACACACUGCACAGACACACACAGAUGGCUUUAAAUAUAAUAGUCAAAGGGUGGACCACAUCUAAGUUAGUAUGGUGUUCAAAUAUUUCUAGUGAAGAUAUAUACAUAUACACAUAUUGCAUUUUUAGAAAUAUAUGUAUAUCCAUACUGUUGGAUAAUACACUAAAUGUAUUUAUAAAAUAUCAAGUGAUACCUUAUAUUUAUACACAGAUAUAAUAUGCUAAGAUUUGUUAUAUUUACAGUUGUUAUAUUUAGUAUUAACAUAAUGAUUCCUUAAAUUAACUCUGUCCCUUAUGAAAUCUGUAUUUUGUAUAAUUAAUCAAAUCAUGUUACGAUUUCUGCUCCAGCUGUUUUGCUUCUCGUGUCAAAUGCAUUAAAAAUGAAACAUGAAAAUGA